CCAAUUUUAGAAUUUGAAGUUUUUCAAAAUACAACAAAAUAUAUUUCUUAGUUAAUUCUUUAUUAUUUCACAAAUAUGAAGUUAAAGAACAACACAAGCGCCAUCAGUGUGAAGAGUUCCAAAGAAGUUCGUUACAUUAAAAAAAAAAUUUUCAGUUUGUUUUAAAACAUGUUUAUAUUUGAUUGCAAUUUAAAGGAGAACAUUGCAGCAAUUUAAAGUACAUAAAUACAUAUAUAUUUGAUCCUUAA